UACGAAGGGUGCAAGCGUUGUUCGGAUUUAUUGGGCGUAAAGCGUGCGCAGGCGGAUUAGUAAGUCAGGUGUGAAAUCUCGGGGCUUAACCCCGAAAUUGCGCCUGAAACUGUCGAUCUUGAAUUCUGGAGAGGGAAGGGGAAUUUCUCAUGUAGGGGUAAAAUCCGUAGAGAUGAGAAGGAACACCGGAGGCGAAGGCGCCUUCCUGGACAGACAUUGACGCUGAGGCACGAAAGCGUGGGGAGCAAACAGG
rnacentral:rRNA from 1 species